rnacentral:misc_RNA from 1 species
UUGAAAACAAGGGUGUCCAAUUUAACUUGUAACCCGACCUUCUCAAUUCUAACUUUGUGCAUCUGUAUUAUGGCGAGCAGUUUUCGGACUGUGAGCCUUCAUUUACAAAACAUCAGUCUAUGAAUGUAAAAUUUUUAUAACAAAUAA